rnacentral:rRNA from 1 species
GGUUUAAUUCGAUGCAACGCGAAGAACCUUACCUAGGUUUGACAUCCGGAGACCUCCGAAAGGAAGGGUGCCCUUCGGGGAAUUCCGAGACAGGUGCUGCAUGGCUGUCGUCAGCUCGUGCCGUGAGGUGUUGGGUUAAGUCCCGCAACGAGCGCAACCCUAUUGCCAGUUGCUACCAGGUAAUGCUGGGCACUCUGGUGAGACUGCCCCGGUUAACGGGGAGGAAGGUGGGGACGACGUCAAGUCAUCAUGGCCCUUACGCCUAGGGCUACACACGUACUACAAUGGCGCAUACAAAGGGCAGCGAUACCGCGAGGUGGAGCCAAUCCCAAAAAGUGCGUCCCAGUCCGGAUUGCAGUCUGCAACUCGACUGCAUGAAGUUGGAAUCGCUAGUAAUUCGAGAUCAGCAUGCUCGGGUGAAUGCGUUCCCGGGCCUU